CGGCGGGCUGCCUCAGACGACGCUGCCCUCUGUGCACUAGCAGGCGGCCGGGCAGCACGAAGGACCGUGCAGGGGGCGGGGGCGGGGGACUGGCCCGCGUUCUCCGGCCACGGGCGGGCACCGGACAAGGCGCCUGAAGCCUCCCUCCUUAUCCCGAGCGGGAGGAGGGACGGCCACAGUGCGGCCCGAAAGCGGCGCCUGCACCGCCACCUCCGUCACCGGCCUGAUCCAGGGUCUGCGGCCCCCCGCCGCCUGGCAGGCCCCCGGCGACCCUGGUCCGCUGGCGUCCCCGCAGGAGGUUCCCCGCGGCGCGCGCACGGCGGGCGCUGCCUGGCCUUCGGAGGGGCGUCCCGAAAAGGGCCCUGGACGACGAGCAAGAGACCAAUGACAAACAUUUCCCAAACUGGCCCUAGCCUGUGGACCAGACCUUGACCAGCAGCACUUCUGGGCAGUGUUUGUCCCUGGGGGCGAAGAGGACUGAUGGUCAGAGCCGACCCUUAUUCCACUCUUACUCUCUGGCACAGCACCCUCGUGAAAAAUGAGACAUCUGACCCACCUUCGGACUCUGCCUGGACCGCAGACCCCACAGGCAGGUAGUAGAUGAUGGCGAUGGAGACUUGCGCCCUGGAGCCAGACUGCAGCCUGGCUUUGCCUCUUUCUGUCUCAGUGAUCUCAGUCAUUUACUGAUAUUUUAAAAGUCCUCAUCAGUAGGUAAAUCUUACCUGUGGAACUAGUAGAACAUUAGAUAUUCUCAAAGUAUGAAAAGACACAACUUUUGAACUAAAUUCACCUGCUUGUCAAUGGUUGGAUUUUACACCAUCUCUGGAGAGAAUUUGUCAUCAUCUUGACAUCAAAACCAUUGGACACGCCCACCAGACUUAGAAGAUUUUUUAAAGUUGCUUCUGGUUUAACUUGUUUCUCUAAGAAAAAUGACAACAGCAAAAACCAUGAAACAGUAUAUUAAAGAUUACAGUAAUUUUUAACCCUCAAACAUGUGAAGAGUAUUUUCCACAAGGUAAGGUAAAAACUGGUCUUUGUUUAUUUAAAAUAUAGAAUCUUUGUGUGGACUACAUGAAGUUCUUCUCAUGUAGGAUCUCAUUAGCCUCAUAAGCCCCAUGAGGAAGGUGUUAUGCUCUGUAUUUUAUUGAUGAUGCAGAAACAUGCACAGAGAGGUUGAAUGACUUGUCAAAGACCACACAGCCCUCUUAUCCCAUCCAUGGAACCUCACCAGACUCGAUAAGCAUAUGUGUAUACACGUCCCCCUUGGCCCACCUGUCAGCGAUGGAGGGUGACACAUGUCACAGGAGCCUACCUCUUGUGGCUACCUUGUGGUUGCUGACAGCCUGGGCCCCACACCUCAGCCCAACAUGUGUCCUGAUCAGGGAGCCGAUCUGAACGGAAUCAGAAGCACCUGUCAUUGGCACCCUCAUAUUUCCACAACGUGGAGGACCCCAGUCCUGCAGCAGCACCCCGAGCUGCCAGCCUCUGGCACGUGCCUGUGAUGCUCUGGGGAGUGCAUCUGUGGGACUACUUAGCCCAAAGUAUCGUUUCCCACAAGUUGGAACUUCAUGGACCAGGAAAACUGCAGUUUUCCAACUUUUCCUUUUUUUCUCAAAAGGACAUUUCAUACUUGAUACAUUUCAUAUUUAACAGCCCAUCCCCCCAAAGUGAGAAGGCAUACAUUCAGAGGCAUAUCAUUUUAAAAUUAUAAUUUUAAAAACUGUCUUCAUGGGAAAAGCGGCACACUGUCAUUUUUGUCAUUCUGCCGUGGACCAGUGUGGUAGGUAUGAGGGCCACUUCCUACUCCCCGGAACCUGUGAGUAUGCUCCCUGACGUGGCAAAAGGGAGCUGAGGCAGCCGGUGGAAUUAAGGCUGCUCACGAGCAGACUGUCAGAUGGGGAGAUUAUCGUCGGUCAUGCAGAUGGGCCCAGUGGAAUCACGAGUCCAGCGUGAUCAUCAGUGGAAGGAGGAGGCAGGAGAGGACGUUGGGGUGGCGUGAUGUGAGCAGCACUCCACCACUGUUGCAGCUGUGAAGACAGAGGGAGAAAGAGGGCAGCCCCUAGAAGCUGGGAAAGGGAGUGGACUCUCCACAGAGCCUCCAGAAAGGAGCACAGCCCCGCCAACACCUCACCUUAGCCCAGGAAGACUUCGGACCUACAGAACUGCAAGAUAAUACACUUGUGUUGUUUCUAGCCACUAAGUUUGUGGUAAUUUGUUACCGUGGCAAUAGAACUGGUACAACCAGGGAAACUUCAUCCUGACCUUACUGAGGUCUGGGCCCCCAGCUUUCGGAACUCAUCCUAAGAAGAGCCCGUCAGAAUUUCCCAUUCUGCAGAAGGACAUUUUAUGUGACUAAGAUGAUGUAUACAAGGCACUCCACCCAGUGCCUGUCACGUAAAGCCAUUCAGGAGCUGGUAACACCCAGGCCCCAUCUACACCCUCUUUCUGAGGUCACAGCCUCAAACAUCUGAGGGCCAGACAGAUGACAUCCAUAGCAGAGGCAGGUAGGGACAGAUGAAUUGAAGGGCACCUGCAAGUCUAGAGGUGGCAGCUUUCCCCAGUCAUGGCCACAAAGGGGCUGCCCGCAGUUGACAGGUCUCCCACGUUUAAGCUAUUGGCAACUAAGUCAAUUUAAAUACAUACACACACACACCCCUGCCCUGUGUCGGCCGAAGGAAACAGCGCUGUGUCUGGGGGCGAGGGGAUGCCCGCAGGCUGCCAGGAUGCAACCUCAGUUCUCUGUCUAAGGCUAUGACUGAGGGGUCCUACCAAGGCCCCAGAGAGAAGUGAAGACCACAGGGCAGGAGGAAGUAGCACUGUGUCUGGUCCUCCAUCGAGGCAUCCUCCCUGCAUGGCACACCGAGAAACCCUUUGCAGCAUGGACCCACCUGUCCUGCAUUCCUUAUGUUUUCCAAAGCCCACGCAGGCCCAUGUCCCUUUGUCACCAGCGUAUCAAGACCAAGAUGUAAGAAGGCGAGAAGGUAGAUGAAGGGAUCCACUCACCCAUCUAACGUUAUCGCGCCCCUGCUGCACUUCCUGAACCACAACAGACCUUGCCAGAAGGGCAGGAAGCAGCCUCGGCGGGCCCAGGUGAAGGGGAGCAGGCUGGUGGAGCAGCACCCACCUGGAGGGUCGGGGAAACGCCAGCACGAGCCCGAGGGUAGACAGGUUGCCUGCAAGUAUCACUAGGAACACAGUAGGUGGUUGAUAAAUGAUGCUGUCACUAUUAAUAAUAGCAUUACUUUCUUUCUGUCAUUGUUGUUGUGGUUAUUUGUCAACUAAAGCAACUGAUCAGGUUCAUUUUUAAAGAAGGUCUCUCUGGGGCUAAGACAGAAGAACCUGGAGGCCAGAGGAGUUGGAUGAACUUUGUUGGAGAACAAAGAGGAGGCUGCUGGACACACCCCCAGAUCUCUGCAUGCACAGAGCGCUCCGUCAUUCCACAGACAUGCACCCACCUUCCCAAUUCCCUAGUCUUGCAGCCGGGAGAGUGAGGCUUUGGGAAGUCCAGUGAUGGACUCAAACUUGAAAAGCCAGAAAGUGCUGAAGGCAGGAGAUGAUCCCCGGUUUUCACACAGAUGGAAGAUAGGGUAAUUUCUUUGUACCAGAAACCAGAAUAGUUUGUUUCAUGGAAAAAUCAGCAUACUUGUCGGAUCCCUGUGAAGCCUGAAUUUGGGUUAAAAUCCCAGAUCCUCCAAUGUGACAUUAGCAGGGUAAGGAGUGACUGCAGUAACAAACAGUCCCCAGCUGUCAGUGGUUUAACACAAAAACAGCUUUUUCUUGAUUACAUCUCAGCUCAGUAUGGGGCAGCGAGGGGAUGACUCUCCUCCACACAGCCAUUCAGGGACCCAGACCCCUUUCUUCUUGUGCCUUGCCCUCCUCAAAGUUCUUGGAGUGUCUCCAUCUGUCCAGUGGAGGGGGAAAGGGCAAAGAUCAUGUGGAGGAGGGGUAUUUGUAGGGGGAGCAGUAAUUAAACUUUUUAUUUUGAGACAAUUGUAGAUUUAUAUGAAGUUGUAAGAAAUAAUACAGAAAGAUCCUGUGGACCCUUCACUCAGUUUCCCCCAAUGGUAACAUCUUGCAAAGUUUUACUACGAUAUCACAGCCAAUGCUGACACAGAUAUAGUCAGGAGAGAGAACAGGGCCAUCACCACAAGGAUCCCUCAGGUUGCCCCUUUAUAGCCACACUUGCUUCCUUCUUAAGCCCCGGCAACCACUAAUCUGUUCUCCAUUUCUAUAGUCAUUUCAAUAAUAUUAUAUAUAUGUGUAAUCAUACAUCAUAUAACUUUUUGAGAUUAUUUUCACUCAGCAUAAUUUUCUGGAGGUUCUUCCAGGUCGUUACAUGUAGCAAUAGUUUGUUCUUUUUUGUUCCUGAAUAGUAUGCUGUGGUGUGGCUGGACCACGGUUGUUUAGCCAUUCACCCACUGAAGGAGACCUGGGUUGUUUCCAGUUUUGGGCUACUAUGAAUAAAGCUGCUGUAAACAUUUUUAUAGAGGUCUUUGUGUGAACACAAGUCUUCAUUUCUCUAAGAUAAGUGCUCAGGAGCGUAACCGCUGGGGUGGAAGAGAGUUGCAUGUUUUGUCGUUUUAACUGCCAAACUGUUUCCCAGUAUGGCCUACCAUUGGACACGCCCACCAGCAAUGUG
ensembl:lncRNA